rnacentral:lncRNA from 1 species
AGAGGGAUGCUAAUAUAUAUUGUAGAGAAAUAAAGUGAUUUUUUUUUAUCAUGUUCUUCGUUUAGUUUAUUAUGAGUUUCUUUUUUUUUUGAGAGAGAAAGGUAGCAUACUACUCGCUUCGUUUAUUUCAUUUGGAAAUAAACUUAGCUGGAAAUGUGAAUCAACUAGGAUUCGAACUUGGAUCUCGGGUACCAACCACAAAGCCCUUUACCACUUUCUCUAGGGACAGUCAAUAGUUUAUUAUGAGUUUCGUAUUAAAAAUUAUAUAUAUGUUCAUUAAAUAUUAAAUUUUAUUUUAUAUAAAUAUACAC